CCUACGGGUGGCUGCAGUCGAGAAUCUUCCGCAAUGGACGAAAGUCUGACGGAGCGACGCCGCGUGGAGGAUGAAGUGCUUCGGUAUGUAAACUCCUUUUGCCAGGGAAAAAGUUUAUUGAUUGUACCUGGAGAAUAAGAGGUUGCUAAACUCGUGCCAGCAGCAGCGGUAAUACGAGUGCCUCAAGCGUUAUCCGGAAUUAUUGGGCGUAAAGGGUGCGUAGGUGGUUAUGUUAGUCUUCUGUUAAAUUUACUGGCUCAACCGGUAAGCUGCAGAGGAAACGGCAUGACUUGAGGUAGGAAGGGGUUUGCGGAACUCAUAGUGUAGCGGUGAAAUGCGUUGAUAUUAUGGGGAACACCAAAAGCGAAGGCAGCAAACUGGUCCGUACCUGACACUGAGGCACGAAAGCGUGGGUCGCGAAUGGGAUUAGAUACCCGAGUAGUC
rnacentral:rRNA from 1 species